CUGGGCUCUCUUUUCAUAAAUUCCCCAUAAAAAACAAGUCAUUUGUUUAAAUGUUAUGAACAGGUUAGGAAUCAGGGAAAAAAAUGGACAGAUAUAAGACUUGGAUGGUAAAGCUAAAUAUGGGAAAACCAGCAACAAAGCACAUGAAAGUGUGUUCACUACAUUGUAAUCAGGAUGAUUUCAUAUUGAGGAUUUGAUUUGAGGACCCAGGUGGGUUAGUUAGCUUCGUGCUUGCCCACUACACCUUGGGUCGUGGGUUCGAUUCCCGCCUUGCCUUUUGGGUGUUGUGUAUGUCAUGUUUCCUGUAAUUGGGCCUCCAGCUUGUUAGAGACAUCAUAGGAUAAAAUAAAUAAAAAUAAAAAUAUUACCUGAUGUAAGUAUCAUUACUAAAGAAUUACUACCUAGAAGGCCCAAAAAUCGAGACUUUAAAGCAGUCAGAAGUACAACAAUGAGAAAAUCUGAAGGUUACAUAAUUUCAAGUACAGAUAGUACUGAUGUAAAUUGCUUCGACAGCAGUCAGUUACAUCAAAAAACUGUUUCAACAUUAGAAAUGGAAACCGUGCAGGCUUUGUUACAUUUACAAAAUUCACAAAAAAAGGAUAAAAAUAUUCAAGUGACAAGUGGAGAUUUAGUGGCACCUUUUAUAAGUACACUUAAAUCUGAUAAUGAUUUAAAUACAAUGGCUGGAAUACCAUCCUUUCUGUUAUUUAAUGCUAUUGUUGCAAAUUGUGAGAUGUUUGGAAAAUUCUGUAAUAAACAUAAAUUAAACUUGAAAGAACGUGUUCUGUUAACUUUUAUGAAACUGAAAAAUACAUUUUCUUAUGCUGUUUUA